UCCUGGUUAGCUCAGUUGAUAGAGCGCUCCACUGGAAACGAAGAGGUCCCUUGUUCAAUGCAAGGACCAGGCG
rnacentral:tRNA from 1 species